GCAGGGACUGGCCAGCAGGUGCUUGCAGCAGACCAGCCCACACAUGAUGCUGGCUGGGACUGGGAGGGGGGGCAGUGGCCGCGGGGAGAAAAGCCCGCUCGAGCAACACUGAGGACAGAAAGCCAACGGGGAAUAGCACACGAGAGUCCACUCUCCGCGUGAUGGCCUGAUUAAGCGUUUGGGUCUGCGUGCUUGAGGCCUGGCUAUGGCAGGCCGGUGAGCUCCGGGAGGACUCCGUGAGACCUCUUGACACCUGCCCACGAUGGGAUCCCUCCCCCCGCAUGGCCUUGGCUCUGUUCAGAUUCCCUGGGACGGUGGAAAGCCACGUGAGGACCCAGUGAAAAGCUGGCCGUGCGCAAGCCAGGAAGAGAGACCGCUCCAGAAUGUCCCCCUGAUGGCACCUUGGCCUCAGACUUCCCAUCUAUAGAACUAGGAGAAAAUAAAUGUCC